CCCGCUGAACUAAGCAUAUCAAUAAGCGGAGGAAAAGAAACCAACAGGGAUUGCCCUAGUAACGGCGAGUGAAGCGGCAACAGCUCAAAUUGAAAUCUGGCUCUCGGGCCCGAGUUGUAAUUUGUAGAGGAUACUUUUGAUGCGGUGCCUUCCGAGUUCCCUGGAACGGGACGCCAUAGAGGGUGAGAGCCCCGUCUGGUUGGAUGCCAAAUCUCUGUAAAGUUCCUUCGACGAGUCGAGUAGUUUGGGAAUGCUGCUCUAAAUGGGAGGUAUAUGUCUUCUAAAGCUAAAUACCGGCCAGAGACCGAUAGCGCACAAGUAGAGUGAUCGAAAGAUGAAAAGCACUUUGAAAAGAGAGUUAAAAAGUACGUGAAAUUGUUGAAAGGGAAGCGUUUAUGACCAGACUUGGGCUUGGUUGAUCAUCUGGGGUUCUCCCCAGUGCACUUUUCCAGUCCAGGCCAGCAUCAGUUUUCCCCGGGGGAUAAAGACUUCGGGAAUGUGGCUCUCUUCGGGGAGUGUUAUAGCCCGUUGUGUAAUACCCUGGGGGGGACUGAGGUUCGCGCAUCUGCAAGGAUGCUGGCGUAAUGGUCAUCAACGACCCGUCUUGAAACACGGACCAAGGAGUCGUCUUCGUAUGCGAGUGUUCGGGUGUCAAACCCCUACGCGUAAUGAAAGUGAACGCAGGUGAGAGCUUCGGCGCAUCAUCGACCGAUCCUGAUGUUCUCGGAUGGAUUUGAGUAAGAGCAUACGGGGCCGGACCCGAAAGAAGGUGAACUAUGCCUGUAUAGGGUGAAGCCAGAGGAAACUCUGGUGGAGGCUCGCAGCGGUUCCCCCGGGCAUACCCCUCGCAAAA
rnacentral:rRNA from 1 species